CCUACGGGAGGCAGCAGUGGGGAAUAUUGGACAAUGGGGGCAACCCUGAUCCAGCUAUGCCGCGUGUGUGAAGAAGGCCCUCGGGUUGUAAAGCACUUUCAGUGAGGAAGAACGCCUGGUGGUUAAUACCCAUCAGGAAAGACAUCACUCACAGAAGAAGCACCGGCUAACUCCGUGCCAGCAGCCGCGGUAAUACGGAGGGUGCGAGCGUUAAUCGGAAUUACUGGGCGUAAAGCGCGCGUAGGUGGCUUGAUAAGCCGGUUGUGAAAGCCCCGGGCUCAACCUGGGAACGGCAUCCGGAACUGUCAAGCUAGAGUGCAGGAGAGGAAGGUAGAAUUCCCGGUGUAGCGGUGAAAUGCGUAGAGAUCGGGAGGAAUACCAGUGGCGAAGGCGGCCUUCUGGACUGACACUGACACUGAGGUGCGAAAGCGUGGGUAGCAAACAGGAUUAGAUACCCUGGUAGUC
rnacentral:rRNA from 1 species